rnacentral:tRNA from 1 species
GCGCCUGUAGCUCAGUUGGAUAGAGCAGCGGCCUUCUAAGCCGACGGUCGGGAGUUCGAAUCUCUCCAGGCGCGCCG